GGCUAACUGACACACUCUUCUACACAAGGAUGGUGUACCCUGGUUUAAAACGAAUGAACAGGGCAUAUUCCAUUACCGUUAUAUAACAUUAUAUAAGGACUAAAUGUACACCAAUCUCAAGCAGAAUAUGCCAUCAGCUUGAACAACAUAUGGGUCUGUAGUUUAGAAAUACACCAAGGCUGCAAUCCUAAAGAACAUUCACGGGCUGACUGUUGCUCUGGGGGAUAUGAAGACUCAUCUUCUUCUGAAAAGGAUGAAUGUUCUGGAAGCCACCACAGCGUAUGAAGCCAAGCCAAGACUCAAACCUUACAGCCUUCAGGAAGGAGUUUCAUUCUAUAAAUACUUGGUCAAACACUGUGCUUCUUACUUCAUGUAUUAUUUUGCCUUUCUUGGCAUUUUAUUCUCUUAUCCAUACAAUUUAAUCUGUGUAAGGGGAAGGUUUGGGAAACAAAUAUCCACAUGAAUAUGCACUUUUAAUUACAAUUGGGGGCAGGGAGUCAUAAAACUGGAAAAGACCGAAAGGCUCCCUGCUGAGAACUGAACCACAUUCAUUGGCUUGUUCUUCUUUGUGGUUA